rnacentral:lncRNA from 1 species
CCGCCCGGGAUGAGCUAAUAAUGGAAGCAAUUUGUAACUUUCAGUAGCUCUCUAGGCCUGGGUACCGGAGGGAGGGAGGCGGGCAGAGGAGGGGAGAUGGGCACCCCCAGUCUUUCCAUCCUCCUCAUUCGUCUAGGGGCACCCGAAUCCCCUAUUCCUUAUUUCCCCUAUCACUCAGGCACUGGCAGGGUCCUUUGCCCACUCCUGUUGGCCGCUGCGGCUCCAAAGCGAGCUGGGCAGAUGUGCCUGACACAGGUUUGACCAGGCAACUGAAAAGACAUCUCUAAGAGAAGACAAAGCAAAGGUAUGAAAGGAACACACGUCCCUGACUGACUAGGAGGAACAGAGCUGCCUGCUAUCUGGAACAACUUCCUCCCAGACUAAGUGAGAAAUAAACUUCUGUUUUCUAUAUG